GCCGCCCAACAGCAUGAGCAGGAUGGAUGGAGCUGGAGGCUGCCCUCCCUGCCCUGCCCUGCCCUGCCCAGCUGAUUAUCACAUUGUUUCAGAGGUAACUUGGUGGCUUUGGGCACAGGGCAACGCAUCCUAGAAUCCCCUCCCGCUGCCCGUUUGAAGCUCAGGAGAGCGGGGAGGUUCAGGGGAGAAGAAAGAUAUCAGAUCUUGGCCGUCCAAAGACCCUGGAAUCCGUUCCUCCUGCCCUCUGUAUUGAUCCCCGGGCUCGCCUUCCAUCAGCGGAUCAAUGCCUCUGCCCGAAAGAGGAGCUGCCCUUUAGAACGGCUGGGAAAGCGGCUCAGGCGGAACAUUCUUAUUAAUCAAAACAGGCCUCUCUCGGAAGGACGGCGGCGGCAAGUGGAAACAAAAGAAGGAGGUUUGCCGAACAGCCUAGAAUAUUAGGGUGGGAGAAGCCAUCAGUUAAUGGGACUGGAUGCCAAUGAGGGCUUGCAGGGACACUUCCAGGUGACCGUCCACGUGUCCCUGAAGGUCGAGGAGGAGGCAGAUCUGCCUGUGACCGUGUCAAUCAUAGCUCCAUGUGCCCCCUGCACGUGCCUCACUUAAAGACCAUAUGGACCCUCUCGUCAGGCAGGGACAGACUUAAAUUAUGACAUUUUUCAUCUUGAUUGACAAUUCCCUUCCCCUGGAAGUUGGGGAACGGCCCGGCUAUAUUACAUCUUGCACAAUAAAAUGAAGGAGAUAAAAAGGGGAGUCAUUAUUUUAGGAAUGUGGUCUCUGGGAGAUGGCUAAGGACGUCAUUUUUAUUCCCACUGCUCCUGCGUUUUAUUAUUUUAUUAAGAGUUAACUCUCAAUUAUCCACAUAUUUCCCGUCUGCACCUGUCAUGCA